AGAUUGAACGCUGGCGGCAUGCCUUACACAUGCAAGUCGAACGGCAGCACGGGGGCAACCCUGGUGGCGAGUGGCGAACGGGUGAGUAACAUAUCGGAACGUGCCCUGGAGUGGGGGAUAACUAGUCGAAAGACUAGCUAAUACCGCAUACGAUCUACGGAUGAAAGUGGGGGAUCGCGAGACCUCAUGCUCGUGGAGCGGCCGAUAUCUGAUUAGCUAGUUGGUGGGGUAAAGGCCUACCAAGGCAUCGAUCAGUAGCUGGUCUGAGAGGACGACCAGCCACACUGGGACUGAGACACGGCCCAGACUCCUACGGGAGGCAGCAGUGGGGAAUUUUGGACAAUGGGCGCAAGCCUGAUCCAGCAAUGCCGCGUGAGUGAAGAAGGCCUUCGGUUGUAAAGCUCUUUGUCAGGAAGAAACGGUGGGCUAAUAUCCUCUGCUAAGUGACGGUACCUGAAGAAUAAGCACCGCUAACACGUGCACG
rnacentral:rRNA from 1 species